GUAGGGAAUAUUGCUUAAUGGGCGAAAGCCUGAAGCAGCAACGCCGCGUGAACGAAGAAGGCCUUCGGGUCGUAAAGUUCUUUUACGUGGGAUGAGGAAGGACAGUACCACGAGAAUAAGUCUCGGCUAACUACGUGCCAGCAGCCGCGGUAAAACGUAGGAGACGAGCGUUAUCCGGAUUUACUGGGCGUAAAGCGCGUGUAGGAGGCGCUACAAGUUGGAUGUGAAAGCUCCCGGCUUAACUGGGAGAGGUCGUUCAAGACUGUAGGGCUAGAGUGAGGCAGAGGUAGAUGGAACUCCGGGAGUAGUGGUGAAAUGCGUAGAUAUCCGGAAGAACACCAGAGGCGAAAGCGAUCUACUGGGCCUAAACUGACACUGAGACGCGAAAGCCAGGGUAGCAAACGGGAUUAGAAACCCGAGUAGUCC
rnacentral:rRNA from 1 species